rnacentral:rRNA from 1 species
UACGGAGGGUGCGAGCGUUGUCCGGAAUCAUUGGGCGUAAAGGGCGCGUAGGUGGCCCGGUCAGUCUUUGGUGAAAGCGCGGGGCUCAACCCUGCGUCGGCCAGGGAUACUGCCGCGGCUCGAGCACUGUAGAGGCAGGCGGAAUUCCGGGUGUAGCGGUGGAAUGCGUAGAGAUCCGGAAGAACACCGGUGGCGAGGGCGGCCUGCUGGGCAGUUUGGCUGACACUGAGGCGCGACAGCGUGGGGAGCAAACAGG